GACGAACGCUGGCGGCGUGCUUAACACAUGCAAGUCGAACGGAAAGGCCCUGCUUUUGUGGGGUGCUCGAGUGGCGAACGGGUGAGUAUCACGUGAGUAACCUGCCCUUGACUUUGGGAUAACUUCAGGAAACUGGGGCUAAUACCGGAUAGGAGCUCCUGCUGCAUGGUGGGGGUUGGAAAGUUUCGGCGGUUGGGGAUGGACUCGCGGCUUAUCAGCUUGUUGGUGGGGUAGUGGCUUACCAAGGCUUUGACGGGUAGCCGGCCUGGGAGGGUGACCGGCCACAUUGGGACUGAGAUACGGCCCAGACUCCUACGGGAGGCAGCAGUGGGGAAUAUUGCACAAUGGGCGGAAGCCUGAUGCAGCAACGCCGCGUGCGGGAUGACGGCCUUCGGGUUGUAAACCGCUUUCGCCUGUGACGAAGCGUGAGUGACGGUAAUGGGUAAAGAAGCACCGGCUAACUACGUG
rnacentral:rRNA from 1 species